CUUGGCCCUAGGGCAAAAGGCAACACUAGAUGGAAGAUGAAAGUUAGCAUAAAUAUUGCAGAAAAUAUUUUCUUCUGUUGUCUCCUUGAAAAUUAGAUGGAUUUGAUCAGAUUAUAGACUUUUCAAGCUGAGAUAUAUCAGUUUUAUGUACUGCAGCUGUUUACAUGCGAUAGGGCUGGCUGGAGAUUUCUUAUCUCUAAACCAUACCUCUCAACCUCUAAAACUGCACCAAACAGAC
rnacentral:lncRNA from 1 species